rnacentral:lncRNA from 1 species
AUGCUAUCGCAUAGCUUAAGGUGAAAUAGCUGUAUAUCGAAAUGCAUCCUGUACCUAAAUAGCUUGCUUGACUUUAAGGGUUUGUUUGGUUUAUUGUACUGCUCUGCUUGAUAGCCAGAUACGAUAUGCCAAAGUGCUAGUGCGACGCCGUAUUUAUACUUGACGGUGAAAUACAUCCGCGACUCACAGAACUGAAAAUCUACUAUAACUUUGAAAUACUAAGGAAAACUCUGGCUCAUGUCCCAAAAUGUCGUUAUAAAUACAUAAAAUCGCGAAAGUUUGCCUUUAAUUC